ACAAAGUCCUGCAGAGGGUGAGACUGGCCUGGUUCCCUGACUCCUGAGUCUCAGCUCUUGCUUCAUAUGGGGUAAGGGAGGGAACAUUUGAACACCUCCCUGGCUAAAACUCCUCAUGAAAUCUUCUACAUGGAUGGAUGACAUGCAGGAAGAAACAUAAGCCAUUUCUACUCAGAGUUCACCAUAUCACUAAGAAUGAUCAGAAUGAUUGUGAAGCACCGGAAAACUCCUAAACAUGAGAAAAAGAAGAUAAUUUAGAGUUUGUUUAUCAGAGCAUCCAGGUCUUAAUGACUGUCUCCCCCCGCCCUCCUCAACAGAAGUAACUGAAGCAAGGCACCUACAAACUCUGCCUCCCUGGCUCAGUAGCCAGUGCUGACCAGCCACAAUUUGAUCCAACUUUUGCUGUCAGAUUUGACGCUACAGUGGAAAGACAGACUCCACCACGCAGAUUCAGGCUCAGUGUGGACUUUGGCAGAGAAUUCUCAGAACCAGAGUGGUGGACAGUCAAUGAGGAAACAAUGCCUGGCAGAUUUCUCAUCUGAGAGGGGCUAGGAUGAAGGAAGGAUAUAAGAUCACUAAAGGAGAAUUUUGGCAGCAGAGGGACAGACAGCUAUGAGGCCUUCCUUGAGCCUUCUUUGGGCACAGAGCCUGUCACACACAGGACCAGGGUUCUACUCCAGUGGCCCUGAUGGCUGACAUCAGGGAGCAGCCAGCCCCUUCCUCGAUUUCCUAGGACCACAUAAGCCCAUGUUAUUAUGUGAUCCCUGGAGAGAGCAUGGGAACCUCAAUGAGGGCUGGGAUCAAAUUCAUUAUGGGAAUGGCAGGUGGGUGCUUUGGGAGGU
rnacentral:lncRNA from 1 species